AAUCUAUAUAUAUAUAAAAGCUUAGCCCUAACAUGUUAAGAGCCUUUUCCCGCCAAUAGCGUCAUCUUUUUUAUCCAAUGUGUAAGUAUGUGUCAUCAGCAAAAUCAACAAAAUCUGUAUUAUCCAGCAGAUUAUUACCACCAACCUCCCCUUCACCUCUUCAUCCAAAACUUCUCACAUUAAUAACUGAGAUUUGUUCUUGGAGAACAAGUAUGCUUAGCCAACACGUUUUGCCCUUAGAGAUUCACAAUCAAAUGACAUCUCACAUAAAUCAUGGCUGCUCUUUUAAUUGGAGCAUCCGAAAAUUACCAGCAAGCACCACCACCGAAAACCACAGCGAGAACACAAGAAGAAGAAGAGAUAAGAAAAAGAAAAUAUUAGAAUGCCACUGCCAAUACUACUAUUACUGCUACCACCAUCAUCGAAACCCAUUCGAUUUUUUUUUUUUUAGUUCCGAUCUACUUUUUAUAAUAAGAUAUAUAUCCAAUAUCUUACAACUAUAGGAUUACUUAUUGCAUUAGAAUACUUCUUUCGUACGCCAAUAUAGCAAAACAUCGUCUGCAACUUCAUGGUUUCCGUAUAAUUUUCAUGAAGUCGAGAUCAGGUGAAAAUUCAUGUGAGGGGCAGGAGCACAUCUCACGAUUUUGGGUUACAAUUUUCUAGAGAGUAGCAAUAUUGAGUGACCAUAUACUGAUAAUCAUGUUUGUGUUUGUCAGUUUGAGGAAGACAAUUGCAAAGGUCAGGGAUCUUUUUUAAGUUUUUUUCUUUAAACCUUCAUGUUUCAAUUUGUUUUGUGUUGUCGGACGAAUUGAGGAGCAGAGAAGAGAUUAAUCACAUAUAUCUAUCAUAUUCUUAUAUAUCAGUCUUUCUAAUGUUCCAACCUUCGCCUUUAAUUAUAUAUUGCUUUCACAUUAAUUUCAACCAUGGUGAGUGUCUUCAGCAGUGAUCUGGUUGGAUUUCGUUGUUCUCCUCCCUCGCCGCUGCCCUCCGAUCAGCAAUCUCUUGCCUGGUCUACACCAGCGCCGUGGUUUUCCGCCGCUCAGAGCCUCCGGUCCGCCGUGCUUCACCGGCCGCUCUUAGUCUUUCUUCGGUAGCCGCCUCCCCUCUUCGAAGGCCCGUUUGAGCGUUUGCACUCCGUACAACGUACGGGUACCAAAUUAGAGAGCGGUGAAUCGAGAAGAUGAAGCGGCGCACACUGAUUGAGGAACAAAAUUAGGGCUUCCUAAUCUGUACUGCAUUUUAUGUUAUUUUCUUAUCAUCCUUUUUUAAGUUUACAUAUUUUUAAUUACUUUUAUCUUCUUCUCUUUUUUUUUUCUUUUUUCUUCUUUUUUGAGGUAAUUACUUUUAUCUAUUA